AUUGAACGCUGGCGGCAGGCCUAACACAUGCAAGUCGGGCGAGUGGCGGACGGGUGAGUAAUGUCUGGGAAUCUGCCCGAUAGAGGGGGAUAACUACUGGAAACGGUGGCUAAUACCGCAUACUAUCGGAUGAACCCAUAUGGGAUUAGCUAGUAGGUGGGGUAAAGGCUCACCUAGGCGACGAUCCCUAGCUGGUCUGAGAGGAUGACCAGCCACACUGGGACUGAGACACGGCCCAGACUCCUACGGGAGGCAGCAGUGGGGAAUAUUGCGCAAUGGGCGCAAGCCUGACGCAGCCAUGCCGCGUGAAUGAAGAAGGCCUUCGGGUUGUAAAGUACUUUCAGUGGGGAGGCGUUACCCGCAGAAGAAGCACCGGCUAACUCCGUGCCAGCAGCCGCGGUAAUAC
rnacentral:rRNA from 1 species